rnacentral:lncRNA from 1 species
ACACCUCAAAAAACACCUCAAAAACACCUCAAAAACACCCCCCAAAACACCUCAAAAAACAGCCCAAAAACACCUCAAAAAACACCCCAAAACACCCCAAAAACAUCCGCAAAACCACCUCAAAACACCCCAAAAACACCCCAAAAACACCUCAAAAAUGGGGGUCAGAGGGGUGACCCGGGAACACACAGUCCAGGGAGCCCACGCGGUCCCUGCGCCACAAAAACACCUGAAAACACCUCAAAACACCCCAAAAACACCCCAAAAACACCCCAAAAACAGCCCAAAAACAGCCCAAAAACACCACGAAAACACCUCAAAAACCAGCCCAAAAACAGCCCCAAAACACCCCAAAAACAUGCCCAAAAACACCCCAAAAACAGCCCCAAAACACCUCAAAAACACCUCAAAAACACCUCAAAACACCCCAAAAACACCUCAAAAACAUCCCCCAAAACACCCCAAAAACACCCCAAAAACAUAACAAAAACACCUCAAAAACACCUCAAAAAACAGCCCAAAACCAGCCCCAAAACACCCCACAAACACCUCAAAAACAUGCCCCAAAACACCUCAAAAAACACCCCAAAAACACCCCCAAACACCCCAAAACGCUCCAAAACAGCGCAAAAACACCUCAAAAAACAGCCCAAAAACACCUCAAAACACCCCAAAAACAUCCCCCAAAACACCUCAAAAAACCGCCCCAAAACACCCCAAAAACACCUCAAAACACCCCAAAAACACCCCAAAAAUGGGGGUCAGAGGGUGACCCAGGAACACACAGUCCAGGGAGCCCAUGCGGUCCCUGCACCCCAAAAACACCCAAAAACACCUCAAAACACCCAAAAACACCUCAAAAAAAAGCCCAAAAACACCUCAAAAAACACCCCAGAAAUGGAGGUCAAUGGGGAACAACCUCACGAUAACUGUACCCCAAAACAGCCCCAAAACACAACAAAAACAGCCCAAAAACACCUCGAAAACAGCCCCAAAACACCUCCAAAAACACCUCAAAAACACCUCAAAAACAACCUAAAAACACCUCAAAAAACACCCAAAAACACCUCAAAAAACACCUCAAAAAUGGA